GAUGAAGAACGCAGCGAAAUGCGAUAAGUAAUGUGAAUUGCAGAAUUCAGUGAAUCAUCGAAUCUUUGAACGCACCUUGCACUCCUUGGUAUUCCGAGGAGUACGCCUGUUCGAGUGUUAUGAAGCUCUCAAAACGCAAUUGGCUUAAAACCUGAUUGUUGUUUUGGAUUUGAACUUUGCCGUGUUAUAACGGCUGGUUUUAAAAGUAUUAGCUGGUACUAGAACGAAUUGGUUCUACUCAACGUGAUAAUUAUCUGAUCGUUGAGGACAUUCCUUUCACGAGGCAUGGCCAUAGUAAAUUCAAUGGACUGCUUCUAAUCUGGCUUUAAUUCUUUAUUGGAUUAACCACUUUUCAAAUCUGACCUCGAAUCAGGUGGGACUACCCGCUGAACUUAAGCAUAUCAAUAAGCGGAGGA
rnacentral:misc_RNA from 1 species